ACUACAAAAGGCAAGGGGUUGAAUGAGUUAACGAAUGUGGAAUUUAUAAAGCAUUUUCUCCUUGGGGGCAGAGAAAUGGAACGGUUGAUGACUCAGCCUUCAUAGUCUAUUCCAUAUAAGAUCAGGAAUAGUAAUUGGAAUAAACUGGAGUUGUGUCUGAGUGAUGGGGGAACCUGGUGUGUCAGGAGAAGCCCUGAUUCAGACUGACUGACUACUGAAAGAGGAAGGAAAGGGUUAGCGAGAGGGCUACCUUACCAGCCCCACGGGGAGGGACCUGUCUAACCACAGGGGUAGAUUCUAACGCGGAGAGACCGGUCCCAGCCAAGUGCCCCACAGGGUUUCCCUUGAAAGCUGGAGAAAUAGGAAAGCGCUGGGUCUGCUGAGCAAGUGGGAGGCAACAGUAUGUCCUUCAGAGACUGCCUGCGACACCCUCAGUCACAGACAUCUGGUAGCUCAGGCUGAAGGACUUCCUGAAUGAAGUGCGAGUUCAACUGCUGAGAGAAGGAAGAGGGAGGCUGAGGGUGGGCCGCAAGGGCUGCUAAUCUGGAAGGUAUAAUUUCCUCAAUUUCUACUCCUUAGAAAAUGCCUGUCACAUGGCGGGUCGAUGACAACCCAGUGAGAUAAUCCUUGUGAAAGAACUUUAAACACCCCACACGAACAAGCAGCAGAUACAAUGAGAUCCAACAAUGAAACGGGUCCUUUCUUGUCACCGAAAGAAUUCACAGAGAAUCUGGGUGAGCCUGUGCCAGGGGUGGGUGGGAGAACCCAGCUCCGGCCGAGGGCUGGACCAGCUGGCCGCUGCAGCCUUCCCCGCCUUGGGCCAUUGUCCGUCAGCGGGACUCUGAUGAAAGCUUCACUGUGUCCGUGUCGUCCGCUGCGCUCAGAGGGGGGAAGAAAGCAUGAGCUCAGCUUGGCCAGAGGACAGGGUUCGGUUUGCUCUCAUCGUUCACAGAGGCCUCUCCCCACGAUUUAAGCCACCGGGCAGGACCAGCUACAUCGUUUGUAGGACCCGGGGCGAAACGAAAAUGCAGAGCCCCUGGUCCGAAGAAUUGCAAGACGGCGACGGCAGAACAUUAACACAGGUGCGGGUGACACGUUUAUGAAGUCUGCCCUGCCACCAGGACCCCAAGGAGGAUGUGAGGAACGGGAAGGAGCCAGGCCGCCGGGGGCCUCCAUGCCCCUGGUCUGUUCCUCCUCCCACGGCCCUGCACAGGGCCCUCUUAGGGAAGAGGAGGUAAGAGUAGCAAACACACCUACCAGCUCUCGUGGGCUGGGAAAUACUCCGAGCAUGUCACCACCUUCAAAACAACCCCACGAGGUCGGUGAUACUGUCGCUGUUUUACAGAUGUACGAAAUGACAGCUGGAGUUUAGGUGACUUGCCCCAAAUCACCCCAGGAAUGAUGGCCGAGCCAGGAUUCAGAUGCAGGGUGUCAGGCCUCAGUCUGGCCUCUCAACCGCUGUGAUUUACACUUUUUCCAGGGGGCCUCUGUACAGUCGCUCAGAGAGGGGAGGCUGGCAGGGGAAACCCAUGCAGGAAGGUCAAUGGAUCACCAGGCCGCAGCCUCUUCUCCUUUACUGCCCUUAGUAAAAGCACAGCGAACCCAUCUGGGAGGGCCAAGCUUGCUGGGCGCUACCACAGCCCAGGUACACAGAGAUGGUCAUGCAUCUCGUCCAGCUAGAGGGGUCUUAGUUGGGGGUCCCUCUUUUUUUUUGCUUGUUUGUUUCUGAGAAAGAGCAAGAGCAGGCACAAGCGUGGGUGGGGUGGGGCAGAGGGAGAGGGAGUGAGAGAAUCCCAAGCAGACUCCACACCCUGCAGCCGAGCUCGAUCCCACAACUCUGAGAUCAUGACCUGAGCCGAAAUCAAGAGUCAGAUGCUUAACCGACAGAGCCACCCAGGCGCCCCAGUGUGGGUUCCCUCUAAAGCAAAGCCUGAGAUAAGGCUUUGGGUGCAGAUAGUUUAUUUGGGGCAUGAUUCCUAGAAUGAGUCCGGGAUCAGAAAGUGUGUAAAGAGAACGGGACAAGGAAGAGUGAAUACUGGGGACAUUGACACUGCCAUUGUGGGCAGCAGGAGCUCAGUUCUGCAGGAAGCUGGGCAUUCACCCAUCACCUCCCGUCCUCUAUUGAUUAGGGGCUGCUCCUGUGGCCAUUAACUUCUCCAAACUCCUGGGCUGUCCCUGCCGUAGGUGAGAGAAGCUUUCCUGGCACUGGAGAAACCCUGGGGCCAAAACCAAAAAGACUCAGGGAGCAGGCUUCAGGUAGGAUGUGCCCAAGGUGAGUGUAAGUCCCCAGAGAACCAGAGCCAGCUACCAUCAGGGCAGCUGAAGGCAGAGGGCCCAGGGAAUAUAGGGAGGGACACCCAACGUGUCUGUACAGAGGCCUCCAGAUUUCGCUAGGGACCAGCUCUCGACAGAAUCUGGGAGCAGGAGUGGCAAGAUCUGCGGACAAAACGUCACUUGUACUGUUCCCCUGUGGGUCUCUGUGCUCCUCUCCGAUGCCCACGGUUGUUCAGUCUUGGGGCUACCGUCUUCCCCAGCCCCAGAGCCCCGGAGAUGGCACGGCGGGCAAGGGCCAACCAGCUGUUACUUACGGAGAGUGCUUCCUGAAUGGGCUGGGCAGGGGGCGAGGGGGGGAGGGCACAGGCUCUGUUCCCCUUAGGGCAGCAUGUUGACAUGCCCCACGCCCGGAUGGCAGCGCCGAGACUGGCUGUGGCCGUGAUGAAGCACUUCAGGGGAGAGGCUGACCCCCAGAGGCUUUCUAGAGAAGGAGCCGUGAAGCCCAGGAAAGGACUCUGAGUAAAGCUUCCCUGCUGGCUGGAGAACCCUGGGGACCCCACCACCCCGUUCCUCAGUCCCCUCCUGCACACACGCUCCCUGGAGUCCUGCCCGAGGCUGCCUUGGGCUCAGCCAGAGUUGCUGGCUCAGCACGCCUGCUCUGAGCCUCUGGCCAACCCCUUCCUUCCCUCCCCAACGCCCUCUUCCCUUGGCCACAUUUCCCUGAAACCGCUUUCUAGGCCCUAGUUACUUUCUGCCUUGUUCUGAGAAAUUAGUUGACAGACAAGUUGACCAGCCAGAACCCCUGAACCUUCGAGCAGAGGGGCGGGUUACUGAUUGUUGUUCAUCUGUGAGCGGGGAGAAUCCGGGCCUGGGAAACAGGAAUCUCAGGCUUAGGUCACAGCUCAGCUUUUCUAGCCAGCGAGUCAUAUUUCCUCAGUUUCCCCAUGUGCAGCAGUCAUCUGCCUUGCCAUCUCCACGUCACAGGGCUGCUGAGACAUCAGAUGAAACGUCUAUGAGCGAAAUUUUCAAACCAAUGGAGUUCUAUGUGGAUGUGACAUAUAAUAACCAUUGUUUGCCGCCCUGUGCCUGGCUUCCAGUUAAACCCGAUUCCUACGCUCUCUUCCUGGCACACACAGGGGCUUUGUUGUUUGGAACUCAUGAGCCUGGCAAACUCCUGCUUGUCUGGAAUCUAAACCGGCCAGUCGUGAGUUGUCUCGGAGUUGUGGAGCAACGGAAAAGGCCCUCAGUCAGGGCCCGAGCCAGGAAUCCCUGCUCCAGGCCCAACUGCUAGGGGCCCCAUGGCCUCGGGCAGGCUCCUUGAUUUCCUGGAGCCCCGUGUGAUUCAUCCCACACAGGUGGUUAUGACGCCGGCCCGGCCUGUCUGCCUCCUGGGCUCCCACGGGGGUCAAGAUAGAUUACGUGGGUCUGUGCAAGGGUGGGCGAAAUGCUCCAAUGCCAUGUGAAUGCUGGGGAUUGUUAUUGAAAAUAAAAGGCUUUCUGACCUGAUUCCACAGCACACAUCCAGCCACCAGGGCUAGUGUGAACUCGGAGGCGCAGUCAAGAUCCUGAAAUGUUUUCCAGAUCAUCUGAGAAAGUCGGUGCAGGAAGAGAAAGACUCAGGUUCUAACUAGCUGGAGACGCAGGUCAUUGACACCAUUACGGUGAUGGGCUUGGUGCAUAAAGGUUCAGGGUACGGGGAGUCUGGAGGGAAGAGAGUGGACUUUGAGUCCUGGGAAAGGAAGACAAAAAUGGCAAGAUGUCUUUGGAGGGACAGCAGGAAUCAGAAAGGAAGAGCAAGGCAGGGUCCAUUAUGCAGAGCCUAGAAUGAGGCAGGGAGGACAGGGUGGGGGCUGCAGGACAGGCCUCCCACCUGCCAUGCUGGCUAUACCCCAAUUUCUCUUGUGUGCCAGAGGGGCCCUCCUCCUGACCCCAUGGUCGAACCAUGACUGAUUUAGAAUCUUAGUCCAUACCACCGGUCAGCUUAUUUGUGUGACCCAGUCCUGGCCAAUAGAAUCUGAGGGAGAGUCCCACUGGGGGCUUCUGGGAAACUCUCCCUCCUUGAUAAAAACAGAGAGGGAGACAAGGGAGUCUCUUCCCUCCUCCUUAUCAACAAGGCCCCUCCAGAGCCUGUCCUGUCCCACCUGACAGUAGCUGAACUAGAUGGUAGCUGGGUCACCUUUCUAACCAGCAACUCUCCUCCCCCCCUCCUCACCCCCUGCCUUACCCACACCUUCCUGCUUCGACUGUUGGCAUGAGAAACUGAGCCCAGGAGCAGCUGUGGCAUCUAGUAAGAAGAAAGCCAAGAGCCUCGUACAGAAGCUAAGCCAGAGCCUGGACAUUGUCAAGCUGCUGAGUCUUGGGAUCCCCUCCAGGCUUCUUGACAUGUGAGACAAGGCAUGUUUUCACGGUUGAAGCCACUUGUAAUCUAGUGUUCCACUGAGAAGAGCACCAGGGGUAACAUAACACUGGGAAUGCAUGCCACGGAAGGGAGCCUACGGUUUGCACAGCACUUUAUAGGCACUUGUCUUACUCGGUCCUCAUAAAGACAAGAGGAUGAGUGAUCUCGCCCUCUUUUCUAAUGGGUGAGCAAACUGACCAGGGGGCAUAAAUGACCCCCGAGGUCACAGAGCUGACUGGUGGUAGGCCUGAUGGCAUAAGUCAGAGUUUCUGACUCUUGGUGCUGCACACUGUCCACUCCACAGGAGAGAGACCAAAAUUGAAGCUAACCAGAGGGACAGACAGAUGCUCCAGACAGCUAAAAUGAGAGGCCAGACAGCAGCGUCCUCUCACCUCCCCGGAGAGUCUCAGGGGAGAAUGAAAGAGAAUCUGAUCAUCAAGAAGCAGUGAGCCAUUAGGUUGGGUGGCUGAGCCCAGGCUGGAACCAGACAGUACAGGGCUGGGGAGAUGGACAGAUGAAGGGGGUGGCGUGUUCCUCCACCACCCCCAGGAAGCUCCUAGAUGGAAGGAAGGAAAGAUGAGAAAGUGUAAAGCAAGGACUGGCAGUCUUUCCAAACCAUGAGGCCAGCUGACUUCCUGAGUGGGCAGGCAUGUGCGGACCCAGCAGUGAACACACAAGGCCGUGAGGAUGCGGCCGGAGAGAGGAGUGCCAGGAGCAGCACAGGCUCUGUCUGAGAAGCUUUUCCAGAGAAGCUGAGUUCUGGACCAAUGAGGCAAAGAGCUUCAGGGAGGGCUGGGAAGGGCUGCUCUGCAUGCUUCCCUGACCCUGGUGUUGGCUGGCCAUGGGUCCUUAGCUGGGGUGUGCACGGAGGAGUCCUUCCUUGUCAUUCCACCCUCAGGAAAGACCUCCCAGGGGUAAACUCAGACUCUGCACGUGGUCAGAUGUGAAAUGUGUUGCAAGAGGUGAUACUAAUCAUAAAGUCCCAAAGUAGGGAAAUCAUUUACUUAAAAAAAAUUAAAAUAGGUGGGGUCAGAGUCAGCCGGCACAGUUACAGUGCUGCGGGAUGGGUGCUGUGAGAGCCGCGAGCACCAUGGGAGCAGAGAGAACCAGGUUUAACCCAGCCUGGGCUGCGCCAUGGACACCUCCCUCCUUGGUCAUCAGCAGGACCCACCACCGCAGUUCCGGCAAGGACAGAGCCAGGCCUGAGCGAAGGCAGUGUCACAGAAAGGAAAAGACUGGCUAAUGGGGAGAGGCUCCAGGAAGGACCUGGCUGAGGGAGAUGACCCCAAGUUGCCCUCAGAUGUCUUGCUCAUAGAACUAGUGGAAUGGCGAUGCCAUUAACUGAAAUAGGGAAGAAAGGAAAAGAUCAGGUCUAUGGGCAAAAGCGUUUUUCUUCUCAAAUAUAAGAAUCUGAUUGUGUAAAUAUCUGACAUAACAUUUUCCAAAGAUUCUCCAUAACUUUUAAGAUAAUAUUCAAACUCUGUUGUUUACUACAUAUGGCCCUCCAAGUUCUUUCUUCUUCUCUAGGCUUAUUUCUUGUCACUCCCCUAAGUUGGUCCUUAGAUACAGCUAUAUAAAACUCCUAGUUAUUCCGAGACACAUUCCAUGGCUGUUGUAUGGCUUUGUACGCGGGAUUCUCUCCGGCUAGAAAGUACUCUGUUAUGAACAUCUGUCGUUUGUGUUCUCAGUACCCUCUCCUUUGAAUUACCUCUCCUGUCUCAUUCCAUGUGGUCCUGAAGGAGCUGCCAAUCAUCCUGCCCAGGGGCCCCAGGGGUGGGGAGGAAAGCCAGGCCUGGUCAAGCAGAGUAUCCCAUCCCUCCGUGAUUGGCCCAGGAUGGGCACAUGACCCAAGCUGGGCCAAUCAGAGCCCUCCUCUGGGAUUUUAUAUAUAUAGGUGCUAGGAGGGUUCUUUUUUCUUCUGGGGAAACCAACUAAGGUGAUAGAAGCCUAGGAUUUCCUGUGGCCAUGGCCCUCCUGUCCCCUGAAACAUGAAGGAAGAUUGAUAGGAGAGAAUGAGUUCAACACAAAGGAAGAAACAACAGAGAUGAUGUGAGGAGAGCAGCAAGUCUGAAUGCUUUAUGAGUUUGGAGACCAGCUUCACCCAGUUGUCCCUGGUUUGCUUAAAAUUGUCCUGUCACUUUUAAAACUGAAAGACUCAGGGGCGUCUGGUUGGCUCAGUGGGUUAAGCAUCUGACUCUUGAUUUU